rnacentral:rRNA from 1 species
AUUGAACGCUGGCGGCAGGCCUAACACAUGCAAGUCGAGCUAGCGUCGGACGGGUGCGUAAUGUAUGGGGAACUGCCCGACAGAGGGGGAUAACUACUGGACACGGUGGCUAAUUCCCCAUCCUAUCGGUUGUACCCCUAUGGGAUUAGCUAGUAGGUGGGGUAAAGGUUCACCUAGGCGACGAUCUCUAGCUGGUCUGAGAGGAUGAUCAGCCACACUGGGACGGAGACACGGCCAAGACUCCGACGGGAGGCAGCAGUGGGGAAUAUUGCACAAUGGGCGCAAGCCUGAUGCAGCCAUGCCGCGUGUAUGAAGAAGGCCUUAGGGUUGUAAAGUACGUUCAGCGGGGAGGCGUUACCCGCAGAAGAAGCACAGGCUAACUCCGUGCCAGCAGCCGCGGUAAUUC